CACCUCUCAGGUUCACACCUGGAGAGUUUCCAGUAUUCUACCAGUCUCGUAUAUGGGAGGGAGAGUCAAACAGAGGCAUAUCUAUCCAUUCCAUUCACAGCUUGGCCAGUGGCUAGCGAGUGGAAGGCCAUCUGUUACAAGU